rnacentral:tRNA from 1 species
GGAGGUAUAGCUCGUUGGUAGAGCGCAUGCUUAACAUGCAUGAGGUCCUGGGUUCAGCCCCCAGUACCUCCU